rnacentral:tRNA from 1 species
GCGGGGGUAGCCAAGCUAGGACAACGGCGCCGGACUUAAGAUCCGGUCUCGCAGGAGUCCAUGGGUUCAAAAGCGUCGUGCGGAAUCGCGCGGAGCGGGAACUCCCAUCCCCCGCA